rnacentral:rRNA from 1 species
CUUCCCAACUCUGUCAUAGAUGGGGCCGGAGUCUGCGGAAGUGGACCUUCACUGGUUCGCGGAUGCUGUUAAUCGAAGAGGUUAACAUUACACAUGCGACGCAUGUUUUGACCGCCCGUCGUUAUCACUGUGAAUAAAACAGCGUGUUCAAAGCAGCCGCUCGCGGUUGUAUGACAAAGCAUGGAAUGACAAAGCAACGACCAGUUGGUCUGUCUUUUGUCGGUUUUUACAAUCAACUUGGGUAAUCCGUUUACGAGGCCUUCCCACGCCGUUUACCGGUGUUGGAACUUCGUCGAACACGGGAUUAAUGGGGGUUGUCGGGGGAAAACGUAUCUGAGCGUGAGAGGUGAAAUUCUUAGACCGCUCGGGGACGAACUUAUGCGAAGGCAUUUUCCAAGUAUACCUUCAUCAAUUAAGAACUAAAGUGUGGAGAUCGAAGAUGAUUAGAUACCAUUGUAGUCCACUACUGCAAACGAUGACGCCCAUGGAUCGGAUAGUUUUUUGCUCUGAUGGGAUCUUUUCGGCACUGCUCCCCCUUCAACGCGAAAGCUGAGGCUAUGGUCUCAUGGGGGAGUACGUUCGCAAGGCUGAAACUUAAAGAAAUUGACGGAAUGGCACCACCAGGCGUGGAGUGUGCGGUUUAAUUUGACUCA